rnacentral:lncRNA from 1 species
GGAAACUUGUUUCGUCGAGUGACGACCACGCGCUCUCCGUCUCUCAGAGGUUUCAGGGUUUAACGGAUGCGUCGGCGAGAUCCAGCCUGAUCCGGAGUUUGAAACGGGUCGAGUCCAUGAGGAACUUACCCGACCCGGUUCCGAACCUAGACAGCAACAAAACCGGUUCGUCCGGUGAGAUUUACCGGAAAGAAGAGGUAGAGAGUCAUUCUAUAACUAACUCGGAUGAACUCACCGAGUCAACCGUUAGAUCUAGAGUUCCUAGAGUCCCUAAACCACCGCCUAAACGGUCUUUUUCAUCCAACGGCUCACACGAUGCCACGGAGGAGAUCCCAGAUCCGCCCCCGCAGAGAACGAGUCCACCACCUCCUCCUCCGCCUCCC